rnacentral:rRNA from 1 species
UACGGAGGAUGCGAGCGUUAUCCGGAUUUAUUGGGUUUAAAGGGUGCGCAGGCGGAAUGUCAAGUCAGCGGUAAAAGCCCGGGGCUCAACCCCGGCGAGCCGUUGAAACUGGCUGUCUUGAGAUGUCGAGAGGUAUGCGGAAUGCGUGGUGUAGCGGUGAAAUGCAUAGAUAUCACGCAGAACUCCGAUUGCGAAGGCAGCAUACCGGCGCUCAACUGACGCUGAGGCACGAAAGCGUGGGGAUCGAACAGG